UACGUAGGUGACAAGCGUUGUCCGGAUUUACUGGGCGUAAAGAGCGCGCAGGCGGUCGAUCAAGUCGCGUGUGAAAGCCCCCGGCUCAACUGGGGAGGGUCAUUCGAUACUGAUCGACUCGAAGGCAGGAGAGGGUAGUGGAAUUCCAGGUGUAGCGGUGAAAUGCGUAGAUAUCUGGAGGAACACCGGUGGCGAAGGCGGCAUCCUGGACCAACACUGACACUGAGGAGCGAAAGCCAGGGGAGCAAACGGG
rnacentral:rRNA from 1 species